UCUAUAUAAAUAUGUUAUUAUAUAAUAUUUUAUUUAUAGAUAUGUAAUACACUGAAUUUUUGUAAAUUGCGAAAUUCGAGUGUGAGGAAUGAUAUGUGGAACCCUUUCACAUGUUCAAAAGGGUUUAAAGAUGUUUACACAUAAGUUUGAGAGUGAUCGGAAUGUCGGAAACAGGAAAGUGCAUUGAACCGGCGAAACUCAGCUUUUUCUGCUUGCUGUACCGGUACAGCCAUUAGCUUGUACCGGUACACAAUGCAGAAACGUGGCAGCAUGGGCUUUUUGGUAAUUUCACCUUCUAAUCCCUAUCUAAAACCCCCAGCUCGACUCCAGGAGCUCUGUGGAAGGGUCUUGAGACCAGAGGAGAGUUCUCUACCAUUUCUUUCUUUCUCUCUCUAGGAUUUUUCUCUCUCUACAAAGAGCUCGCCGUUUUAGUCGUUUUCGUCGCCACGCACGUUCUUCGCUGAUUGCGAGCAUCGCAGGGGUUGCGUGGUCGUGGGAGAGAGUAUUUUGGAGGUUUUUCCGCAGCUUUGAACCAGGGGUUUGCUGGUUGGAUGCUUAAGCAGCAGGUUCUCGAACCACUUGGAACUUAGUUGGUGACCUUGGAAGCGGGUUUAGAAGGUGUUCUAACCUGAGCGGGAGUUCGACCGACCUUUGCAUCAUCCUUGAGCGGCUUUGGGAAGCCUUUAGAGACUUAUUUGGAGGUACUAAGCAGCAUUGGGGCUUCGUUGAGCCGAUUGCGGGACUUCUUGUGAAUAGUUGGAGCCUAGUACUAGGUGGGUCGGACCUAACCAGAGCAAGUGAAACUCCCUUAUGUUCUAUAUGUAUUAUAGAAAUGGUAUUAUUGUGCGCUUAUAUGAUUAAUAAAGGGGCUUGACAUUCGUUAUUAUAAUGUUGAACAUAUUCGGAAUGAAGUCUCUAUAAAGUAGAGAACACUUAUCCAUGAAAAUCUUUAUAUU